rnacentral:misc_RNA from 1 species
GUCAUGGACAGGGCGGUGGUCGACGCCAGCGAUUUUUUGGCCACGGGGAACUUCGGCUGGUCAUUCUUGAUAUCCUGACCCGGGACGCCAGCCACGGCUAUGAACUGAUUAAAGCGAUAGAAAACCUGACGGGGGGCGGCUAUACGCCAAGCGCUGGUGUGAUCUACCCUACGCUGGAUUUUUUACAGGAUCAGCAAUUUAUCACGAUUAGCGACGAAGAAGGCGGGCGGAAAAAAAUCGCGAUUACCGCGAACGGCGCGCAAUGGCUUGAUGAAAAUCGCGAACAUCUGACGCAUAUUCAGGCGCGGCUAACAGCCCGUUGUGUGGGCAUGGAGUUACGUAAAAAUCCGCAGAUGAAGCGGGCGCUGGAUAACUUUAAGGCCGUGCU